rnacentral:rRNA from 1 species
CCUACGGGUGGCAGCAGUGAGGAAUAUUGGUCAAUGGGCGUAAGCCUGAACCAGCCACGCCGCGUGAGGGAUGAAGGUUCUAUGGACCGUAAACCUCUUUUAUAAGGGAAUAAAUUGCGGGACGUGUCCCUUUUUGUAUGUACCUUAUGAAUAAGGAUCGGCUAACUUCGUGCCAGCAGCCGCGGUAAUACGGUGGAUCCGAGCGUUAUCCGGAUUUAGUGGGUUUAAAGGGUGCGUAGGCGGCCUUUUAAGUCAGCUGUGAAAGUCUGUGGCUCAACCAUAGUAUUGCCGUUGAAACUGGGAGGCUUGAGUAUGUUUGAGGCAGGCGGAAUGCGUGGUGUAGCGGUGAAAUGCUUAGAUAUCACGCAGAACCCCGAUUGCGAAGGCAGCCUGCCAAGCCAUGACUGACGCUGAUGCACGAAAGCGUGGGGAUCAAACAGGAUUAGAUACCCUUGUAGUC